UCUUAUAGAUUGUUAUGACAAAACAGUUCUACUACAGGACUGUAAAUGUUUUUAAUUUCAAAAAUUAAUCAAGGGCCACUCUGAGCAUGGGUGUGGGCCUCCAGUUAGCCGUUUCCAUAAUGCUAACAGCAGCAAAAAAUAAAAAAUAAAAGUUUCUUACUGUUGCUUUAACGCAACUCAUGGCAAAACACACCCACACACACACAAAUCUUAUCACCAGUUGACCAGAUCAAUAUGCACCACUAGCACAAAAGUACAAUGGAGAACAUUCAGUCGCAGCCAGACCAAGGUGCGGAAACUCCAGUGGAGCAAGAGAUUUUGGAAGAAUUUCACACACAUCGGCAUUCGCCCUCUCAGAAAUUUCAACAAGGUAUGUUUAUAGCAGGAGCUGGAUCUUGGAUUCCACAGCACAAGGUGACUCUUCUGCUUCUGGGCCUCCUCAAUGCUGUUCUACUCAUAGCUGCUGUUGUCCUCACCAUUUACUGUGAGUAAAACAGCGCUCAAUGCAGCAGGUAGAUUGUCAGACAAUGAGAAGCCAAAAUGAGUGUAUGUGUCCAAGACAAAUAGAUUAAAAUCUAACUUGUAUAGUCUGAAGUAAAGGCUCAUGUCUUCAACGUCUCUAUAAUGGACAAACAUUUGAUGGCGAUUUGCGUAAUGAGAAUCAGCUUUUUUUCUAGCACAAGCCAAACCACUAUAAUAAUAAAGACACAGCAUUGGUGAAUGAAUACUUUUCUGGUGGUAUCCAAGUAUUAUCACCUUUUCAAAAGCAUAUUAUCUUUUAGUACAACUUCUGUUUUAGAUCUCAUUCUGGUUACAGAUCUGUAUAAUCUGGUGGCUGGUGAGUGGUUAUAACUAAAGUUAGGAUGAUUCAAAAAUCUUUAGGAACC